rnacentral:rRNA from 1 species
GCAAGUCGAAGGAAUUUAGAUUCAUGGCAGACGAGGUAGGAACACGUAGGGACGUACCCUAAAGUCAGGGAUAACCCGUCGAAAGGCGGAAUAAUACUUGAUGGUCCCUUCGGGGUAAAGAUUUAUCGCUUUAGGAACGGCCUGCGGUCUAUCAGCUUGUUGGUAAGGUAACGGCUUACCAUGGCUACGACGGAUAGGGGAGGUGAGAGCCUGACC